UCUGGGUCUAGACAGUCGCUGGCGUUAAGCUAGAGGAAAGUCCAUGCUCGCACGAUCUGUGAUGAUCGUAGUGUUUGUGCUAGAUGAAUUAAUAAGUCUAGGCAGGUCCCAACCUGACGGCCGUCGAUUUUCCUAAGGGAAACUAUGGAAAUAGACUAUAAAAGUGCCACAGAGACGAGUCAAUAUGGAAACAUAUUGAGUGGAACGGGUAAACCCCGCAAGCGAGAAACCCAAAUUUGGUAGGGGAGUCAGCCGGAUUGAAACGAAAUGAAGGCUGGAUAACGAAAGUUAUAGAUAAAUGACUGUCACUGACUUGUCAGAACAGAACAUGGCUUAUUGAUCCA
rnacentral:RNase_P_RNA from 1 species